rnacentral:rRNA from 1 species
GACGAACGAUGGCGGCGUGCUUAACACAUGCAAGUCGAACGAAGUGGCGAACGGGUGGGUAAUACGUGGGUAACCUGCCCUCCUUUUUGGGAUAAGCCUUGGAAACGGGGUCUAAUACCGAAUAAUGGGGGAUGGGCUCGCGGCCUAUCAGCUUGUUGGUGGGGUGAUGGCCUACCAAGGCGGUGAAGGGUAGCCGGUCUGAGAGGAUGAUCAGACAAACUGGGACUGAGACACGUCCCAGACGCCUACGGUAGGCAGCAGUGGGGAAUAUUGCAUAAUGGGCGCAAUCUCGUUGCAGCCAUGCCGCGUGUAUGAAGAAGGCCUUCGGGUUGUAAAGUACUUUCAGCGAGGAGGCGUUACUCGCAGAAGAAGCACCGGCUAACUCCGUGCCAGCAGCCGCGGUAAUUC